AUCUUGCAUUUGAAAUAGACUCCUUAAUAAUAAGUUGGAUUUUCUGGUUCAUGGGAUCGUUUAAAACGUUGAAUUCUAUUUUAAAAAAUGAAAAAAAAAAAAAAAAAAAAAAACCUUUCUAGUAUGAGGUGUUAACUUUUAUUCAUGUUCAUUGGUUGUAUGUCUGAAUUUUCUGUUUUAAGACAUUACUUUCUGAUUCCAUGGUCCUUGGUUAUUUUUUUCAAUUGUAAGGAAGGUUAUUGACCGGUGCCACCAUAGGCUUAAUUAUAGCAGGAGGAGCUUAUGUUAGUACUGUUGAUGAAACAAUUUUCUGGCAUUUAUUUUGGACCUUCCAAUGAUAUCUUCCUUUGUAACUUAAAAUUUUUUUUCAUAUGUCGUUUUGUUUUGCAAAUGAUGAGGGUUUUUUCCCUUUUUUUUUUCUGGAUUGAAAGAAAUAUCUGCAAUUCUUCUUGAUCUUUUUGUUGUUUGAUUUCGAAAAUUGUGCUAAUGGUUCCAUUAACUUUAAUCUAAAAUUAUUUUGGAAAAAUGAACAAGUACCUUCCUUUAAAAGCAUGACUUUGCAAGUUAUUAUAUGACUAAAACGGCUGUAAAGAGUAGGGACAUUUCUCUUCUUUUUUUUUUUUUUUGUAUCACAGCAAACUGGUCGGUGUAGAUUUUGUUAAAUUUUUAUGUAGAUCUUAGCUGUUGACAAUGGUAGCAUCAACAGUUGGGGCCUUGAGUUGGUACAAAGGGAGAGUCAAAGCAAUUCCAUCUGGGGAUUGCUGCGUGGUAAUGGCCAUGUCCAGUAACGGGGCUGGACUUUCACCUGAAAAAACCAUUACUUUGGCAUCUCUCAUUGCUCUUAGAUUGGUAAAGCUCAUAUGAAUAUACUUUUGCAUUUGGUUAGGUCCCUGUUAAACUUAGUGGUUUUCAUGUUUGCUUGACAUUUUCUUGCUGAUUAAUUUAGUUUUGUUUAGUUAUAUCACUGGUUUAGUUCUACAAGCAAAUAGUCACUUUUUUUAGUUGUUUGCGCCUUUGGUUUCAAAAGUAAUUUCGUUUCUUUUCAUUACUCUUUGCAAAAUUGCUUCCAUCCUUUUCUUCUUAUUGUUUUCUAAUCUCUUUUUCUUAAUUGUCUCGAUUGUAUCACACCACAGCUAUGGGCUCUGCAAGCCCUUGGCUCCACCAUUGUUUGCAAUUCAGCACUAGCAGGAAUAGGAGAAGCAUAGACCCUCUGGCAGCAAGAGUUUGGUUUACGGUGAUGGAUACAUGGCUUGUUUAUGCGCCUGUGAAAAACAACCUUGAAGAUGCUACUAAGUUCAAAUUAUGUAUUAAUAAUUUCUGGAGUUCAUCUUUCUCUGUUUAAUUGGCUCUUUUGCAAUUAUAAUCUAGCUUGUCAAUGGAUAGCAAAUCCAGGAUUUCUGGUGUUGGUUUGUCUAUACACAACGGGGUGACAGUAUAAAUAGGUUCAAUUGUGAAGAUCAAAAUAUAGAAAAGCUAUAACAUCAACGUUGUGUUGUGCAAUAUCAUUCAGGAAUCUAUUUUUUUUAUCUUUUGCAUUAUACAGGUUUUAAUAAGUAAAUCAUCAUUUUUAGUAUUUUUUUUUUCACAAAUUUUAAUAGGAAGUAGGAAUUAUAUAAUGGUGAAUUUUGUCAAAUAAAUGAAUUAGUUCCUUUUAGGUUCAUUACUUCUCUUAAAUAUAAUGCUCACACUUGAACAAUAUAUAAUUGUUUCAAGGGAUAUGGUACAGUUUAUUUAGAUUAUGGUCAUCAUUAUAACAUCUUUCUGUUACUUUUUUUUAUGAUGCUAUCCUAUUAACCUUUUGUCUCCUUUAAACUGUUCUUGGUUAAUCUUCAAGCGAGCAACUGUUAGGUCACAUGUUCUUUCUCUACCUUAGUACCAAGGGUCCUAUUUGGAUAUUUAUUAUCAACACCUUUUGUUGUCCUUGAUGAUUAGUUUGUGUUCUGGGCAUCUUUGUCAGUUUGAUUCUAUUUAUUAAUGUUCUCUCAACCUUGAUUAAGGCACCAAAAUGGAACCCAUAUCGCAGUGCAACUUUUGGAGAAAUUGCCAUAUCGUGCGAACAGUCUCAUCCUUUAAAAGGCUGGUGUCCAAGUGGAGGAUCCAAUAUAACAGGUUUACAAUGGACAAGAGGUGGAAGUGUGGUCGCAUGUUACAUGGAAGCCUUAAUGGGGGCUAACUUUUUCUGAGAUAAAAAGCAAAGUUAGUGGAAGUUGCUCCAUCUCUCAAAGGUCAACAUGGCCCUUAAGGGCCAUGAUAUCUUUCUUGAAGAUCUAUAUUUGGAUGGAGCUCUUAUCAUCAAUUCUAUUGAUGGUACAGAGGCCUGUAGAGGAGUUGUCAAUGAGCCAUUUGCCAGGGACACCUGAGAAUAUUUGAGGAAGCUCUGCAUUGAAAAGGUGCUGCUCCUUUUGAAAUUUUCUGGUCAUUAUUGUUAUAGAUGACUUUUGAUUAUUUAAAAUUUAUGGUGGAUCUAAAUUAAUAUAUCUUAACCCUGGAAGUCACUUUCAAAGAUGAAUAUGUAUUGCCAAGCACAGGCCAAGAAUUUGGCUCUGUUUACCUUGGUGGUGACAAAAACGUUACAAUGUUAGUUAUCUCUGCAGGCUAGGCAAAAGUAAUUUGCUUUUCAGUUUGUCAUAAUACUUGGAAAAGUGACUUAUUAUUAUAUCUUGUAUUCACUUUAAAUGAGGGGAAGCAAGUCCUUUUCUUGCUGAAUUGCUACAUCUUGAAGAACAAGCCAAACAACGUCUGGAUCGAUGGGGCAAGGUAAUCUCUUUCCCCUUUGUAAUAGUCCAUUUUAAAUUCUAAUUCUAACUCUUUUGGUUGGAUUUUGAUCUUAGGUAUGAGUGACUUGCUUUUUCCUUUUAUUGUUCUCUCUGAGGAUAAUGUGUUUUGGUGCUUUGAGAUGCUUAUUAGGUGAAUAGUAUUUUAUACUUGGUGAUUUCAGUAUAGGCCUUGCUUCAAUUUAUACUGUAGCAAAGCCUUUUGUACCUAAGAUACCAGCAAACUCUUGCGGCCAAAAAAAAAAACCAGAAAAAAGUUUCUGUUAGAAUUUUCUAAGCUCCAAAUCUACAAAAAAAUAUAUAAAAUUCAUGGAGAUUUUCAGGUAAGAUUUUUUAAGCUAUUUGUUUGAUAAAUACCUGAUUUCAAAUCUUAUCUGUUUGCCGAUUGAAUUUUUGUUAGUACAAAAUUUAGUGAGAUUUGAAGAGCUAGAGCUUACUCUUUUAAUUUUGAUCUAAUUACUUGCCUUUAUUAAUUGAAAAUGUGAAAAUAUUUUUCAUAGGUUUCUCAAUUUUGUUUACUUAUUUUCCAUGGAAAAGAAAAAGGGUUAUAAAGGAAAUUUAGUAGUUUCAAGUCCUAAAGCAUUCCCUAGGAGUUGUUACAAGCAGAUAACUGCUUUAAGGAAUCGUCUAGAUGUUAAGGACAUAACAGUUCAUGUAGCAACGUUUUUACUCAAAGUUGCUGCAUUAGAAAUAGUUAGAAGAGUCUCAAAGGCUAAGUGUCCAUUUUUGCGGCCUGGUAUUCGGGCUUUUCAAGUUAUAUGCUAACCGCCCAUUAAUUGUACUCAUAAAUGGGCUCUCUUUAAGGGUUUAGUUAUAGGAAUGCGAGUUUGUUCUUUAACAACUUUGUAAACAUUGCAUUUUUAGUUAAUUGCUAGAUUGAAUUUUUUGUGAUGAAGGGUUGAUUUAACAAAUGAUUGACAAUUGUUAUUUUAUUUUAAUUGUUCCAAAUGUUGUCGAGGCCACUUUUGGUUCUUUGAAUCGCGACAGCGUUUUCUGAUCAAGAAGAGUUUAAUGGUCAAGCCUCAGAUGGUAUUGGUGGUUCUCUGGUGAAUUCAGAAUCGUAUUAUCAGGAACCUUAUGUACAGUAUUCCUUGGAUGCAAGGUACAUCAAGCAUUGAAGUGUAUUAGGUUUUUUCUUUUUGACCUUUUAUGUUUCUGUCUUGGCGUGUCGAAUUUUGAUUAGAAACUAUAUUUGCUUUACUGCAAUCAAAGACUGUAAAUGAGGUUUCACCAAUCUUAAAAAGAUGUCUAGUCAUUGUCUGAUCUUAAGAGCUUUGGUUGACUUUGUAAUAAACUGAUGCUGCAAGAUGAGAAGUUAGGUUGGAUUGAAAGUAAAAGUGAACUUUAUAUAAGGAGAAACU